rnacentral:rRNA from 1 species
AUGAAUUCUCUAGCCCACCUAAGAGAAUUCAUCGAGCAAGCUUCGACCGUCACGUCGACCUCCCUUGACCCUAACUCUCCGGACACCAUCUCCUGGAACUGGAACCCCAAUGGUGAAUAUUCGACCAGCUCGGCUUAUCGGGCGCAAUUCCUUGGAUCUUAUCCGAGAUUCUUCUGCGACAAAAUCUGGAAGGCCCACACGGAGCCAAAGUGCAAGCGUUUCUCCUGGCUGGCCCUCCACAACCGGAUCCUUACGGCUGACCGUCUCGCCCUGCGAGGCUGGCCACUUACUCCGUCUGCCAACUAUGCCUCUGUACCAACGAGAAUGCAGAACACCUUUGCAAGACCUGCCCGUUCACUUCCGCAGUCCGCACCCUCAUCCUGA